GACGAACGCUGGCGGCGUGCUUAACACAUGCAAGUCGAACGGAAAGGCCUGCUUUCCCUUGUGGAUUGCGGGUACUCGAGUGGCGAACGGGUGAGUAACACGUGAGUGAUCUGCCCCCAACUUGGGUAUAAGCCUGGGAAACUGGGUCUAAUUCCCGAUAGGACUGCAGGGUGGUGCCUGUGGUGGAAAACGAUUUUCUAGUGGUUGGGGAUGAGCUCGCGGCCUAUCAGCUUGUUGGUGGGGUAAUGGCCUACCAAGGCGGCGACGGGUAGCCGGCCGGAGAGGGUGGACGGCCACAUUGGGACUGAGAUACGGCCCAGACUCCUACGGGAGGCAGCAGUGGGGAAUAUUGCAAAAUGGGCGGAAGCCUGAUGCAGCGACGCCGCGGGGGGGAUGACGGCCUUCGGGUUGUAAACUCCUUUCGACCGCGAGGAAGCCACCUGGUUGGAAGGGUGGUGACGGUAGUGGUAGAAGAAGCACCGGCUAACUACGUG
rnacentral:rRNA from 1 species